rnacentral:misc_RNA from 1 species
AAGUCGUAACAAGGUAACCGUAGGUGAACCUGCGGUUGGAUCAUUAAUAAAUGAUUUGGCACUAUGGAUUGAAUAUCCAUUCUCUAUAGUGCCGAUUAACACCCUUUGUGCACCGUAAAUGUUUUUUGGGUAGGGUCUAUUUCGGUAGCCUUGCCCUGCAAAUCAAAACCACUUUUAAACCUGACUGAACCUUUAAAAUAUAAAAUUUUAAAACUAUAGACAACGGAUCUCUUGGUUCUC